GAUGAACGCUGGCGGCGUGCCUAAUACAUGCAAGUCGAGCGAACGGACGAGAAGCUUGCUUCUCUGAUGUUAGCGGCGGACGGGUGAGUAACACGUGGAUAACCUACCUAUAAGACUGGGAUAACUUCGGGAAACCGGAGCUAAUACCGGAUAAUAUUUUGAACCGCAUGGUUCAAAAGUGAAAGACGGUCUUGCUGUCACUUAUAGAUGGAUCCGCGCUGCAUUAGCUAGUUGGUAAGGUAACGGCUUACCAAGGCAACGAUGCAUAGCCGACCUGAGAGGGUGAUCGGCCACACUGGAACUGAGACACGGUCCAGACUCCUACGGAAGGCAGCAGUAGGGAAUCUUCCGCAAUGGGCGAAAGCCUGACGGGGCAACGCCGCGUGAGUGAUGAAGGUCUUCGGAUCGUAAAACUCUGUUAUUAGGGAAGAACAUAUGUGUAAGUAACUGUGCACAUCUUGACGGUACCUAAUCAGAAAGCCACGGCUAACUACGUG
rnacentral:rRNA from 1 species